rnacentral:snRNA from 1 species
GUGCUUGCUUCAGCAGCACAUACACUAAAAUUUGAAUGAUACAGAGAAGAUUAGCAUGGCCCUGUGCAAUGUAAAUUUGUGAAACAUUUCAUAUUUUA